UACGGGGGGGGCAAGCGGUUGUUCGGAAUUACUGGGCGUAAAGGGUUCGUAGGUGGCUUGUUAAGUCAGACGUGAAAUCCCUCGGCUCAACCGGGGAACUGCGUCUGAGACUGAUGAGCUCGAGUGCAGGAGAGGAACGCGGAAUUCCAGGUGUAGCGGUGAAAUGCGUAGAUAUCUGGAGGAACACCGGUGGCGAAGGCGGCGUUCUGGACUGCAACUGACACUGAGGAACGAAAGCCAGGGGAGCAAACGGG
rnacentral:rRNA from 1 species